rnacentral:lncRNA from 1 species
UUUUUUUUUUUUUUUUUUUUUUUUUUUUUUUUUUUUGGUGUGGGGGGACCUGGUUGAUUUCUUCAGACAUACUGAGACCUGUAACAUCAACCACCCUUGGAGCUCACUGCAGGGUUGGAGCUGCAGACUCAUGCUGUCAGACCUUCCCCUUCACCUCUGGUCCCUGGAAAAUCACCGUGUUCUCUGUACCCCUUGCUGACCUCUGAAGCCAAACAACAUCAAGUCCCAAUGCUUGCUCUGCGUUGGAUGGCAUCAACCACAUAAAAAAUUGGCGUGGUGAAUCACCUCUGCCUUCAAAAAUCUUACUAAGGGCUCACAAGAAAAAUAACCAAACGAGAUGUUCUUGCCCUCUAUUUUCCUGCCACGCAUUGCUAGGAGGAGAAGCUGAAUGCUCCUUUCAUUCAAUAUACAACACACCUUUUCUAGCCACUUGAUUGGGUGUCCCUGAGAGGAGGGGGAUCAAGAGGUGACAAAAGCAGAGUUUGGGAGUUUGAGAGCCUUUCCACUUUAUGGGUCAUUCUCAUCAGUCAUCUGUUCUGGAAAGGCCACCCACCUGCUUUCUUCAUUCCAGUCUCCCAUUUCAACAGUGAACUGGGUGUUCUCCAUCUAUCUGGGAACUCUUGCCCUUGGCCCCUCUCAUCAGACUUAGAGGACUUCCCUCUUGAUGGCAGUGUGAUGGCAUAGGCUUCGGAAACCCUACCCAGCUCCAAGUUAAACCCUCUCUUCUUCCAAGUUGACGUUUCUACCUCCGAAUUACUACCUGAUGGUAGGCGGGGGUAGAAAUGAGAACCAGGGAAGAGGUAUUACCUGCUAUGUCUCAUCUUUUUCCACUUGUAAAUCACCCAUCCCAUUGUUCAAAGGGUUGUAAUCAUGGUUGGCAUUUAUAAAGCUUUUUUUUAUGGUCUUGAAGCACUUGGCAAUCCUAUGUAACUACACAAUUAUCUUGAGAGACACAUCAGUGCAAUCUUCCUUUUGUAAGCAGGGAAAAUGAGCACUCACAGCAGAGGGUUCUGGUAGAGCUCUGGUCACUCAUGAAUUCAUUAAUCAGUUUUUGAGUGGCUACUCCACAGUGGGUUUAAGGAGGUAUUCAAAAAUUACUAAGGUUUCAUCCCUUCCUUUGAAGAAUUCAAAGUAAAGUAGGAAAAAAGAUAGAUGUGAACUAAUGAAACAAUUAAAAAAAAAAAAGCCGUGUGAAGGGAGAGGGAAGGGAGUGGUUGCAAAGAGAGAAAGCUUCACAAGAAAAGGUUAAGCUGGGUCUUGAGUGCUAGCUCUGCUCCCCAAGCAGAAAGGAGCAUGUGACAUCUCAUUUGACCACAGUGUCCUCCACUGAAAAAGUACGGGAUUUGAGGGGCACCUGGAUGGCUCAGUGGUUGAGCAUCUGCGUUUGUGAUUCGGGUUGUGAUCUGGGGGUCCCGGAUCGAGUCCCACAUCGGGCUCCCUGCAUGGAGCCUGCUUCUCCCUCUGCCUGUGUCUCUGCCUCUCUCUGUCUCUCAUGAA